AUUUAUUGACAAAGGGCACUUAAUGGCCGUCUUGGUAAAAAAGUAAAGGACGUCGCGCGACGAAACUUUGUUUAGGGAGGCACAGGCCUGUGAUCUUCAAGUUUCCUAAUAGAAAACUUGUUUUUUUAACACAAAAAAAUGCGAAUUGAAUCAUCUUAGUAGCAUUAAUAAGAAUCAAACGAGAUGCCGCAAGUAAUGGCGAAUGAACGUGGUAAAAGCUAAAAUUUAUAUUAUAAAACUUUGAAUUUUAAACUUGAGAAGGUAUAAGUCCUGUAAAAGUAAAAUAAUAUAUCUUUAUGAAGUAGUAUGUUUUUGUAUGAAUAUAGAAGAACCACCUUCUAAGCUGAAAUAACUUUUUUGACCGAUAGUGAACGAGUACCGUGAGGGAAAGACGAAAAUUUCCGUUAGGAUAAAACUUAAAAAAUUAAGUGUCUAAAAUACUUUUGAAGUUUUUUACAAAUUUAAAGAACAACAGAUUGCCUUUUGCAUAAUGAGUCAGUAAGUUAAUAAGUAUAGCAAGCUUAAACAAUAUUGUGUAGGCGUCUUUUAGUUAUAUUUAUUAAACCUGAAGCCAAGUGAUCUAAUCAUGAGCAGGCUGAAAAUCCAGUAACAUGUUUUUUAGGGCCGAACUCGUAUAUGUUGCAAAAUAUUGAGAUGACUUGUGAUUAGGGGUGAAAGGCCAAUCAAACUUGGCGAUAGCCGGUUUUUCACGAAACGUAUUUAAGUACUACGUUGAUAAAGUAAAUUGUAGGUAUAGUAACAAACUAAAUAAAGGGUUUAAAAUCUACUGAAUUUAGUAUAACUUCGAAUUAUAAUUUAAUUAUGUCAACAGACAGUCUCUGGGCGAUAAGGUUCAGAGACAAAAGGGAAACAACCCAGAUCAUAUGUUAAGGUCUCAAAAUUUCAACUUAGUGGAUAAAAUUUUACAUAAAAUAAAUAAUUAGGAUAGGCUUAGAAGCAGUCUUUCAUUGGAGAAAGCGUUUUAGCUCAUUGUUGUCUUAUGAGAAUUUAAAAUAAAGGAGGCUCAAAGUUGAAUACCGAAACAAUGAAUCAAAGUAAAACCUUUGAUGGUAGUGAAACGUUCUGUACAAAUUACUUUUAUUAAUGAAAUUUAAUAAAAAUCUUAUCAGAAGUGCUAAUGCUGACAUGAGUAACGAAAACUGUGUGCUAAAAUCGCAGUCACCUAAUGCCCAAAGGUUUCAAUACAAUUUCAGGCGUAUUGAGUUAGUCGAUCCUUAAGAAGAGAGUAAAUACUGUAUUCGAUAGGUAAUUCACCAGCUAUAUAUAUUAUUUAAUAUGUAAAAGUUAGCAUAAAAAGCAAAAAGUUUUAGUAGGUUUGGCUUUUGUGAUAAUGUUAGCUUCAGGAAAAACUUAUAGCUUCUCGAUCGUACUUAAACCGACACAGGUGGGCUAGUUGAAAAUACUAAGGUGUAUGAGUGAAUUGAAUUGAAGGAACUUGGCAAAUUUGCUCCGUAAGUUCGCAAAAAGGAGUGUCCAACUGUUUUUGUUGGAUGUCACAAAAUAAAAAGCAACGACUGGUUAUCAAAACCACAGAACUCUGCUAAUUAGUUUAUAAGACGUAUAGAGUUUGACACCUGCCCAGUGCUUAAAGUUAUCAUUUAUGAGUUCCCGCUUGUAUUUUAAUCCUAAGUAAACGGCGGUUCUAACUAUAAGAAUCCUUAGGUAGCGAAAUUCCUUGACGGGUAAGUUCCGUCCUGCAUGAAUGGUGUCACGAUUGCUUUACUGUCUCCAAUUUAAACUCAGUGAAAUUACAUAACCUAUGAAAAUGUAGGUAACCCGCAGUAAGACGGAAAGACCCUAGAUCCUUUACUUUAGUUUUAUAUUGAAAAGAUUAUUGCUUUUACGUAGAAUAAGUGGAAGUAAAAUAACAUUUACAUAAGUGAAAUACCACUUAAAACGAUAGUUUUUUCUAAUUUAUUUAUUCAAGACAGUAUAAAAUAGGAAGUUUACUUGGGACGAGUACCUCCUAAAAUGUAACGGAGGUGUACAAAAGAUAGACUGAAAAUUAUUUAAAAUUUAAAAGUGUAAUGGCAAUAAGUCUGUUUGACAGUAAGAUUGAUAAAUCACACUGAGACGUAAGUCGGUCAUAGUGAUCCGGUAAAAGUAAGUGGAAGCAUUACCGCUCAACAAAUAAAAGGAACUCUAGGGAUAACAGAUUCAUCAUGGUUAAGAGUCCUUAUCGAUGCCAUGGUUUGAUACCUCGAUGUCGACUCAUCUUAUCCUGGGCUUGGAGCAGAGCCCAAGGGUCUAGUUGUUCGCUAGUGAAGAAGGUACGUGAGUUGGGUUCAGAACGUCGUGAGACAGUUCGGUCCCUAUCUGCUGUGGGUGUUGAAAAGAAAAGGAAUUAUUUUUAGUACGAGAGGACCGAAAUACGUUAACCAAUAGUGUACCGAUUGUUGAGACCAUUAGCAAGUCGGGCAGCCACGUUAAUAACGUUUAUGCAUUGAAAGAAUCAAUAAAUGCGAAAACAUUUCUAAACUUUUCAUGAAUAAUCUAAAAGACUAUUAGAUAGAUCGGCUUAUUACAAACACUUAGCAAUAAAACUUUUGUAUCUAAGUACGAAUUUAUUCACAGAUAAA
rnacentral:rRNA from 1 species